rnacentral:snRNA from 1 species
GUGCUUGCUUCCACAGCACAUAUGCUAGGAAACUGGAAAGUUACAGAGAAGGAUAGCACGACCCUUGAACAAGGAUGACGUGCAAAUUCAUGAAGUGUUCCACAUUUUU